rnacentral:sRNA from 1 species
CUGACAGCCCUGGAGACUGAAGUCUUUUAUUCACAGACCAUCUACCAUGCAGGCUGUGAUGGUGCACGUUUCCCCCCACUACCCCACAACAUGCCUCAAUCUGUUCUGGAACAAUCACUUUUAGCAGAGAAAGGGGUAGGUUAGUCUCCAGGCUCAUGCAGUUCUGGGUUUCU